rnacentral:lncRNA from 1 species
AACCCCUUCGUCUGUCAUAUGUCAAAAUUUAUUCGACUUAAGUUCGAGAGUGGAAAACUCUUUCUCCACUAUGCAAUCUGCCCCGGCCGAGGUCUUACGAACUCAGUCUCAUAAAUCACAUAGGAUCUCUCCUUAUCUAUCAAGGUCGAUAGAUUCCUUGUAGAUGCAUACCCUACUCCUACAGUGAACUUACUGCAGCCAAUCUACACUGCAUGGACCCAUAUGGCUAGAGACCAUGCAUUUGUGCAGUCAAACUACAAUAACCUCACUGUGAGUAG